AUUUGUCAUGGCUCAGGACGAACGCUGGCGGCGUGCCUAAUACAUGCAAGUCGAACGAGAAUUGCUUACACCGAGUGCUUGCACUCACCGUAAGGAAUUCGAGUGGCGGACGGGUGAGUAACACGUGGGUAACCUGCCUAUCAGAGGGGGAUAACACUUGGAAACAGGUGCUAAUACCGCAUAAUAUUGAAAAGCGCAUGCUUUUCAAUUAAAAGGCGCUUCUGGUGUCACUGAUAGAUGGACCCGCGGCGUAUUAGCUAGUUGGUGAGGUAACGGCCUACCAAGGCAAUGAUACGUAGCCGAGUUGAGAGACUGAUCGGCCACAAUGGGACUGAGACACGGCCCAUACUCCUACGGGAGGCAGCAGUAGGGAAUCUUCCACAAUGGGCGCAAGCCUGAUGGAGCAACGCCGCGUGCGUGAAGAAGGUCUUCGGAUCGUAAAGCGCUGUUGUUAGAGAAGAACACGGAUAAGAGUAACUGUUUAUGCGUUGACGGUAUCUAACCAGAAAGUCACGGCUAACUACGUGCCAGCAGCCGCGGUAAUACGUAGGUGGCGAGCGUUGUCCGGAUUUAUUGGGCGUAAAGGGAACGCAGGCUGUUUUUUAAGUCCGAUGUGAAAGCCUUCGGCUUAACCGAAGAAGUGCAUUGGAAACUGGGAGACUUGAGUGCAGAAGAGGAGAGUGGAACUCCAUGUGUAGCGGUGAAAUGCGUAGAUAUAUGGAAGAACACCAGUGGCGAAAGCGGCUCUCUGGUCUGUAACUGACGCUGAGGUUCGAAAGCAUGGGUAGCGAACAGGAUUAGAUACCCUGGUAGUC
rnacentral:rRNA from 1 species